GUGAAGAGCAGCGCCGCCGCGCCGGACUACUUCAGAGUGCUGCGGCCGUACACUUAUGCAGACAUCCUGUUUGUGACUAUUCCCUCUGAAAACAUGCUGGAGUUCAACCUGACCAAUGAGAAGCUCAUCCUGUUCUCCGCCAAAGCCCCGCAGGUCAAACACCUCAUCGACUCCUUCAUCAGUGAAAUCAAGAAGAAUUCAGACUAUGUGAUUGCUGAGCGUAACUUUGUAUCCGACGACCAUGCC
rnacentral:lncRNA from 1 species